AAAUAAAAUCUGAAGUUUAGUUAAUAAUUCACAAUGAUGUUAGCUUCUUAGUGGUGAUAAACAUGCUACGGCAACAUAAGAUGCUUUCAUUUCAGGAAACCGGUAAGAACAGACUGAAUUACCUCUGAAGAAAAAAUGAAAAGACACUGCGCAAGAUUUUAAUAAAGAGAGGAAAGCAUCCAAAAAGGGCUUUCUCUGGCCUAAAGAGUCCAUUUUGCCUACUGUCAUAGGACUUGAAAAUGAUCAUUCCCCACUCCCCAGCAAGACACAAGCAGGGGGAAUCUUUCUAAAGAGAAACUCUAACAUUUAUCCCAAGGCAGAAAAGAUGAUCACCACGGCACCAAACCUCCUCCGCUGCUCUGACAAAUACAGAGCCAGCCUCAUCUGGAGCAUUUCUGCCCUGAGCUCGCUCUCAGAAGCAGACAGAGGAACACACUGCAUUUCCACUGUGCUGAUUCACUGAACCUUUUGUGCAAGUACACGGGAAUGUUUGCUUCUUAGCUUGAAACCCUUCCAGCCGUGAUGACUGUGCCUCAGCCUGCCCUUUGUCCUCGCAGCUGCUGUCACGCGUGUGACACAAGAGAACACUGAUGCAGCCCUGGCCAUCAAUGGGCAUCAAGCCAGGCACUUCAUAUGCAUCCCCUUCAUUUCAUUCUCACAACAAAUCUGUGGCAGAUGAAAGCAUCGAGGCUCCAAAAGGUUACUAAUAAUCUGUCUGUGCUCAACCCUGGGAUGGGGCAGAGACUAGGUUUCCCCAGUGUCCUCAUGCCUAGUGGCUAGCUUAGCUGGCCUCAU
rnacentral:lncRNA from 10 species